UAUGCUCCAACCAAAAUCGUA
rnacentral:piRNA from 1 species